UUCGGCGCGAAGGUGGCGUUUCAUCAUUUUUCUUUUCACUCCUAAUAAAUCGAUUUAAGCAGGAUUUUAUCGAUAUUAUUACCUUAUCGAUUUUAUGUUGGCAACUAUCGGCCAUUUUAUUGCCACUUUUUAAAAUAAAUCAGGAUCGGACAUUUGCUACCUAUUUAACAGCAAUCUCGUUUCAAGAAGAACACAACAAGUAAGGGAUUUUAGAUUCAGAACCUGAAUACAGUCCGUUAAGAUUUGAAUUAAACCCAAAAAACCUUCUCAGUUUCAAGAAUUUCUCAGCCCGAACCCGCUGUUGAUAAUCAAGGCUUCGGAAAAGCUGAUUGAAGUUUCCGUUUGAACGUAAAAAUCUGGGAAAGGCAAGAAGGCUACACAUUUCGUAUGUCAUUUCAGUUGAAUACAUUUCAUCCAACUGUAACUACCGGACGUGCUACCUACCUAGCUUCAAAUAAGUUAUUAUAGAAAUCCAUCGCUAACCACGUCACCGCCAGGAGGAAACCAGCUGCCGAUGAUGUGCUGUCCAGAGUGCUUGGCGCAGCUAUACGCUGCGCUGCAAAUUCAGCAGGCCCCUUCUGUGUUCGAGGAAGUGUCUCCAACUGAGGCUCUUUUGCCCGAAGACGAUGUCAUCGUGAUCAUGGGCAACAUAUACGAAGACCUCGAGGUGGCUUCGACUGAGGAUCAAUUGUCCGAUGAUAGCAUCAUCAUAAUCAUGGGACCAGAGGACGACUUAAAUGAAGACUACGAGGCGUCUUUCCAGGGAGAUGGCAACGAUCUUCUCCCGGGGGGACAACCAAAUAAUACUUAAAACUAUUUUAAAGAAGCAAACCCCUCAAAAACCAUAAAAACCAAAAAAUAUUAAAGAGUUUGUUCGUUUCGUUGCAGUCUUUAGAAGGAUUACUUCAAUACUCGAUUACAGAACCAAACCAUUAUUUUCAAAGAUUUCUAUUUUGUGUAACCCACCAACAAGCAAUGACGAACUGCCCUCUGAAACCGGAAUAGGCUCAUCUGGAGGAUCGGGAAAUGCAGCAGAGGGACGCUGACUGGCAGUCCUUGAUGGAGGUGGGCCUGUGCCAAGCAAGGAGGAGGGAGUGAUCAGUGCAAAUAGAUAAUCUUAAAUAUAAAGAAUACAAUACAUAAAGCAGACACAUUAAAGAUUUUACAGUGUUAUAAAUUGACAUAUUUAAGAUAACCUACACGCUGUGGUAUUCAUUCUGAAUCGAAAAUAAAAUAUACUUAUAAGAGAUUUUAUUUUCUCAAAA